CGCAGUUUUCCUCUGAUUAAGACAUUGGUCAGAUGCUGCUUAGCCUCACUCAGUUUUGGCUCAUUCCUCUCCGUCAGCGGAAUGGAGUCCUUCAGUUUGGCAAAGUUUUCCUUCAAGCAUUCUUCCAGCAGAGCUUCUGCAAGCAGCAUACUCCCAUAGUCCUCCGUUUCCUCCGUGCCCCCCGCCGCCACUUUCCGCCGGGUGCGUGCCGGCGGCAGCAGCUGCUGCUGCACCAGGAGCCGGAGCUGCCCCCAGUGCCCCUCCGCCCGGCACCGUUCGAUCUCCCCCUCCAGCUUCACGUGAGACAGCGGGCCCUUAGCCGCCAUCUUAUCGCGCGCGCCCGCCCUGCCCGGCG
rnacentral:lncRNA from 1 species